rnacentral:sRNA from 1 species
CGUGGGCCCCCUCCUUGGGGCGUUUCCUCCCUAGACUUGGCCCGGGCCGCUCAGCGACCGGGCCUUUUUCUUGCCCCGU